rnacentral:rRNA from 1 species
GACGAACGCUGGCGGCGUGCUUAACACAUGCAAGUCGAACGGAAAGGCCUGCUUUCCCUUGUGGAUUGCGGGUACUCGAGUGGCGAACGGGUGAGUAACACGUGAGUGAUCUGCCCCCAACUUGGGUAUAAGCCUGGGAAACUGGGUCUAAUUCCCGAUAGGACUGCAGGGUGGUGCCUGUGGUGGAAAACGAUUUUCUAGUGGUUGGGGAUGAGCUCGCGGCCUAUCAGCUUGUUGGUGGGGUAAUGGCCUACCAAGGCGGCGACGGGUAGCCGGCCUGAGAGGGUGGACGGCCACAUUGGGACUGAGAUACGGCCCAGACGCCUACGGGAGGCAGCAGUGGGGAAUAUUACACAAUGGGCGGAAGCCUGAUGCAGCGACGCCGCGUGGGGGAUGACGGCCUUCGGGUGGUAAACUCCUUUCGACCGCGAGGAAGCCACCUGGUUGGAAGGGUGGUGACGGUAGUGGUAGAAGAAGCACCGGCUAACUACGUG